UACGUAGGUGGCAAGCGUUUGUCCGGAAUUAUUGGGCGUAAAGCGCGCGCAGGCGGUCCUUUAAGUCUGAUGUGAAAGCCCACGGCUCAACCGUGGAGGGUCAUUGGAAACUGGGGGACUUGAGUGCAGAAGAGGAGAGUGGAAUUCCACGUGUAGCGGUGAAAUGCGUAGAGAUGUGGAGGAACACCAGUGGCGAAGGCGACUCUCUGGACCGACACUGACGCUGAGGCGCGAAAGCGUGGGGAGCAAACAGG
rnacentral:rRNA from 1 species